rnacentral:rRNA from 1 species
GCACAAGCGGCGGAGCAUGUGGAUUAAUUCGAUGCAACGCGAAGAACCUUACCUGGGUUGACAUAUACCGGAAAGCUGCAGAGAUGUGGCCCCCCUUGUGGUCGGUAUACAGGUGGUGCAUGGCUGUCGUCAGCUCGUGUCGUGAGAUGUUGGGUUAAGUCCCCGCAACGAGCGCAACCCCUAUCUUAUGUUGCCAGCACGUUAUGGUGGGGACUCGUAAGAGACUGCCGGGGUCAACUCGGAGGAAGGUGGGGACGACGUCAAGUCAUCAUGCCCCUUAUGUCCAGGGCUUCACACAUGCUACAAUGGCCAGUACAGAGGGCUGCGAGACCGUGAGGUGGAGCGAAUCCCUUAAAGCUGGUCUCAGUUCGGAUCGGGGUCUGCAACUCGACCCCGUGAAGUCGGAGUCGCUAGUAAUCGCAGAUCAGCAACGCUGCGGUGAAUACGUUCCCGGGCCUU